rnacentral:rRNA from 1 species
UCUCAGUGCGGAUUGGAGUUUGCUACUCGACUCCAUGAAGUCGGAAUCGCUAGUAAUCGCAGAUCAGCAUUGCUGCGGUGAAUACGUUCCCGGGCCUUGUACACACCGCCCGUCACACCAUGGGAGUUUGUUGCACCAGAAGCAGGUAGCUUAACCUUCGGGAGGGCGCUGCCACGUGGC